rnacentral:rRNA from 1 species
UACGUAGGGUGCGAGCGUUGCCGGAAUUAUUGGGCGUAAAGAGCUCGUAGGCGGUUUGUCGCGUCGGCCGUGAAAACUUGGGGCUUAACCCCAAGCUUGCGGUCGAUACGGGCAGACUUGAGUUCGGCAGGGGAGACUGGAAUUCCUGGUGUAGCGGUGAAAUGCGCAGAUAUCAGGAGGAACACCGGUGGCGAAGGCGGGUCUCUGGGCCGAUACUGACGCUGAGGAGCGAAAGCGUGGGGAGCAAACAGG